AGGAGGAGGCGGCAGAUGGAUCUCUGUGCAUCCAAGGCCUGCCAAGUUUACAUAGCAAGUUCUAAGACAGCCAGAGCUUCAUAGUGUGAUCCUGUCUCAAAAAAUUUUGUUUUUUAAUCUGUGCUAUUUCAUAAAACAGUGGCUUAAAGCUGCAGGUAGACUGUCUGAGAAAAGAGGACAAAGCCAAAAAUCGCACGGUGCUCCCUAGGUCCCAUUGUGGGGUGAGCUGCUUCUGAUGGGAUAGUGUAUAGACAGGGUAUCACAGGGCAAUGAGCUUGCACCUGAAGAUGGCUGCAAAAGAGCAAGCAGCCAGGAACUGUGUCCUGAUUCAGAGCUUCUAUAAGCAAUCUGGGAACAUUAUCCAAGGUACUCUCAGUGACCCCUGAGCUUCCCGCCUCUGUGUGUACAUGAAGAACACCAGGCUUAGCUGUGAGGACCACAGAGCAGGCACAACUAGGCAGUUGUAUUUGCAACACCCUGCAAGUUAUUAGCUGGCCACGUGUUUGUCAUUCGGGAAACUCUGUUGUAAAUGCAGUCACCCAGUGUGACCAUAUUCAGGCAAGUAAACACAUAUGCAUGGGGGUGCACACUUAAGUGUGUGAAUGCAGUGGCAAAACUUACACAUUUCCCAGUGCCUUACAACCACCCAAAAGAAGGCUGCUUGCAAAACUCUGUCUUUUGAAUUAUGAGGGUCAUGUAACUAGCUUUGACUUUAAUUUUCGUAUUUCUGUGCUAAACACCAAAAACUUUACUUUUCACAUUUACAUGCUAAACACUAUGCUUAAUGCAAAGUAUAGACCUUCCUGUGAGCCCAAGAUCCCUUACUGCCAAAACAGUGAUGGUGUCUACCUCAAAGACCCACAGUGCAGCUUAGAGGCUGCCUGUGGAAAGCAGUUUGUGUGCACCUGACAGACCCACUGAGUUGCUGCUGUGAGAGACUGGAUUUUAGCAUAGAUCGGGGGUUUGCUGUUUGCCGUAAUUCCUACCCACUUAGAACACCAUAGAAUGUUUUUUCUAAGUCCAGCCAUUGUAUCUGUAUCAAUUCCACUUUACUAUGCCAGACAGAACUUAGCAACUGGUGCUAUAUUUUGCUUUUAAGCUUUUGGUAGAUUUUUGGUUAAGGAUGAAAAUUAGCAGAUUGACUUGAGUUAUGGUAGACAAAUGAUUAAUUCUUUUGAAAGGGACUCAACAUUUCAUGACCCAGCAUCAUGGUCUUUACAUUAAAUAGUAAAAAUGUAAACUCCAGGCAUGGCAAUGAACACCUGUAAUCCCCACAGUAGCAGAGGGAGCAACAGGCGGCCCACCCCUGAGCUUUCUGGCUAGCCAGUGCAGUUGGAUUGGCAAUGUACAAAUUCAGUGAGAAGCCCUAUCUCAAAAGAUGAUGAUGGGGGCUGGAGAGAUGGAUCAGCGGUUGAGAUCACUGACUGCUCUUCCAGGGGUCCUGAGUUCAACUCCCAACACCAUAAUGGUGGCUCACAGCCAUCUCUAGUGGGAUCUGAUGUCUUCUUCUGGUGUGCCUAAAGACAGCUACAGUUUACUCAUAUACAUUGGAUAGAUAGAUAGAUAGAUAGAUAGAUAGAUAGAUAGAUAGAUAGAUAGAUAUUUUUUAAAAAAAAAGAUUUGAUGGUGAUGAUGGUGAUGGUGAUAAUGUCUAGAGCAAUUAAAGAAACAUCAGACGUUGAUGUCUCCACAUAUGUAUCCACACAACUGCACAUGUACUAUCCACAUACAUAAAGUUUUUCACGGGGAAAAAGGGAAGGUUCUGUGGCCAAACAAAUUUGAGAAACAGUAACUUAAGCAAAGUUUGAUAACUAUGUCUUUUUCCUGAAGUCCAUCAGCCUUUUUUUCCUGCUGAGUCAGUAGUUGAUCCCAGAAGUUUAAUUUAGCCAGCUACUUUGUGUAUACAAUUCUGGCUGACAUUUUGGGAAAGAAGUCAUGUGAGCGUGCACCCGGUGUGCAUGCAUGUACAUAUACACACACAGACACGUGUACAGAGUAUAACAGGUCUUAGGAAUUGGAACUCACUAGGAACGGCCUGCGAAAGACUACAAGCACGGGGCUUGGUGCCAUUUUCAAAGGCAACUACUAAGCAAUACGGAAAUCUGGUAGCUCCUUUUGGAGCAGCAAUUCCCUAUCCAACAGGCAGAUGGGAAAUGUUUUAAUUUUCUCUGGAUACAAUAAAGAAAAGACAAAAAAAAAAAAGCAAAUGAAGAACGUUUGAGGGGCAGACUACCCAUGAGGAAGCACACUGAUUGUGCAGACGUGUGCUUUCCCGUGUGAGACUGUGAUGUGGCCAAGAGCACACUCAGCCAGUACUACUGAAUGGUUGCUAUUGGUUCUAGGAUGUUCUAGGCUGUUGAGGCCGUCGGAGCUUGCUCACAGUUCAGAGGUCCUGCUCUGAGGAGUGACUUUUCUGUAGCUUGUCUGAAGACAACAAUAACAAAUUAGCAGCUAACUGGUGGUUUUACAUAAUAACAUUGCCUUUUGAAAGCAGCACUGUCUUCUGCACUCUUGUGUCCGUGAUGAUUUGACAACCUGGCUUUCUUUUUGCCUUCUCUAUUGCAGUUGCAUAUGGGGCUGAUGGCUUUAGGGAUUUUCAUGCAAUAAUUCCCAAAUCUUUCUCUCGUAAGUAUAUGCUUUGCUUCUAGAAAACAGAUGUUCAUUUCAUGGUCAGUUCCAUCACACAGACACCACCACUUGCAUGUUCUCUCAUCAACACCUUCCUUUAUAACUUGAAAGUGACAUGGACUAAAUGUUUGCCAUUCUAUCAUUAAACACCCAGCAUCCAGUGUGUCAUUGAUACAAUAAAGUGCAAAGACAGAGGGUGAGGGUGUUGUUUGGUUUUUGUUUUGCUUCUGAGGCAGGGUUUCCCUAUUAUUCCUGGCUGGCCUAGACUGCUCUGGGAUGCCCAGACUCAUCUUAAAUUUGCAAUGAUAUUCCUGUCUCUGCCUCUGCCCCUGCCCCUACCCCCUCCCUCUGUCCCUGCCCCCUCCCCUCCCUCUGCCUCUGCCUCACCAAUAAGGAUCAGAUAGUGAGAGGAUUAUAGGGGACUUUUGGGAUAGCAUUUGAAAUGUAAAUGAAGAAAAUACCUAAUAAAAAAUUGGAAAAAAGAAAGAGAGAGAGAAAGAGAGAGAGAGAAAGAAAGAAAGAAAGAAAGAAAG
rnacentral:lncRNA from 1 species